CUAAGAAUAUUCCGCAAUGGGCGAAAGCCUGACGGAGCGACGCCGCGUGGAUGAGGGAGGCCGAAAGGUUGUAAAAUCCUUUUGCGGGCGAAGAAUAAGCGGGGCAGGGAAUGGCCGCGCGAUGACGUUAGCCCGUGAAUAAGCCCCGGCUAAUUACGUGCCAGCAGCCGCGGUAACACGUAAGGGGCGAGCGUUGUUCGGAAUUAUUGGGCGUAAAGGGCGCGUAGGCGGCCGCGUAAGUCUGAUGUGAAAACCCCGGGCCCAACCCGGGAACGGCAUUGGAAACUGUGCGGCUAGAGUCACGGAGGGGCAGCCGGAAUUCCUGGUGUAGGGGUGAAAUCUGUAGAUAUCAGGAAGAACACCGGUAGCGAAGGCGGGCUGCCAGCCGAUGACUGACGCUGAGGCGCGAAAGUGCGGGGAGCAAACAGGAUUAGAUACCCUGGUAGUCCGCACUAUAAACGAUGCACACUAGGUGUUGGGG
rnacentral:rRNA from 1 species